AGUGGAAGAUCUUUUCAUAUCUUUUUUUCUGAUUUCUGAGAGAGAGUGAGUAGUAGUGAGGUGGAAAAAAACAAAAUUCCAAUUAGUUUUUAUUUUUCUUUUUCUUUCUUUAUUAAUACCUCCUAUUACUUAUUUAUUUAUUAUAUAUUUUUUUUUUAUUUAAGAAAAGAGAAUCCAAUGCUAAUAGUUUUUAAUACACUUGUAAUCCUCUUAAAUACAUAAAACAU
rnacentral:lncRNA from 1 species